UAACGAAGCUGCUUAGUGUCUGUAGAAUUAUGCGCAUGAAACGCAGAAACUCACCUGCAUGGACGCAGGUGAGAGGAGAAGACGCGCCAUGGACGGCGCGUUUCGACGUUUUCGUCAAGCAUAGAAGCCCUUCAAAGCAUAAUUCGUACAGACACUUUGCAGCGCAGUGU
ncrna:unclassified sequences TwoGGAY RNA